UAAUACUCCAUAGAUUAGAGACACUGGAAUGUUCUUUAGUCGAAAGUUCUGGCGCCUUAGGAUGGAUCUGCGGUCGAUUAGGUUGUUGUUGGGGUAACGGCCCAACAAGCCUGUAAUCGAUACGGGUUGUGGGAGCAAGAGCCCGGAGAUGGAAUCUGAGACACGAUUCCAGGCCCUACGGGGCGCAGCAGGCGCGAAAACUUUACAAUGCAGGAAACUGUGAUAAGGGAACUCCGAGUGCCCGUAUACGCGGGCUGUCCAGGUGUUUAAAAAUCAUCUGAAGAAAGGGCCGGGCAAGACCGGUGCCAGCCGCCGCGGUAAUACCGGCGGCUCGAGUGGUGGCCACUAUUAUUGGGCUUAAAGCGUCCGUAGCUGGACCGAUAAGUCUCUUGGGAAAUCCGCCGGCUCAACCGGCGGGCGUCUAAGGGAUACUGUUAGUCUAGGGACCGGGAGAGGUGAGAGGUACUCCGGGGGUAGGAGUGAAAUCCUGUAAUCCCCGGGGGACCACCGAUGGCGAAGGCAUCUCACCAGAACGGCUCCGACAGUGAGGGACGAAAGCUGGGGGAGCGAACCGGAUUAGAUACCCGGGUAGUCCCAGCCGUAAACUAUGCGCGCUAGGUGUAC
rnacentral:rRNA from 1 species